rnacentral:tRNA from 1 species
GGGGAUUUAGCUCAGCAGUAUAAGCGCCUGCCUUGUAAGCACGUGAGCUCAAUCCCCA